UUGAAUGGUAUCCAUUUACUCAUGCUUCUUGUAAACAGUUGUUCUAAAAAUCUCUCAUUGUUUGUUCUAAUUUGGAUAGAAUGCCUUCUAGGUUGGCUUCAGACCUAGAAAUCCUGAGAUUUAAUUUUAUUACUGGAUUUGUUCUCUAUUCUUGCAGAGUGUUUUCAGGAUGGGUGUGUGGAAAGUAAAGCCAUUCAUUGCUAGUGUAAUCAUCUUUAUUCUGCCAUCUUACUUCAUUGAGAGUAUGGCUGUAGACAGAAUUCUAGUUCAAAAUAAUGUCUUCUCCAAAGUCUGAGGGAAGUGCCCCCUUUUAUUCCAGACCACAGUAUUGCUGUUGAGAAAUCUGGUAAUCUUCAAAAGUUGAAGGGAUAAUCAGAGAAAUAAUAUUUCCCAGAGCUGAAUAUGAGAGUCUUCAGAACAAAACGUCCUUGAGGGCUGUGAAGUGAGAAAGUAUAAAUGUAAAAACAAAUUUUUUGAAAUUUCAAGAGACUUUUUUUUUAAUCUUUUUCCUCUGAAGAGCAUUUUCCUUGCUUUCUUUUUGUAAAACUCCCAUUAAUCACAGAUUGGACUGCCUGACCCUCUACUGUGUCCUUCACAGUAGAAUGAAUAUUUCCUAGUUUCUUUUGUUGUUGUUGUUGAGACGGAGUGUCAUCGUGUCGCCCAGGCUGGAGUGUAGUGGCACGAUCUUGGCUCACUGCAACCUCCGCCUCCUGAGUUGAAGCGAUUCUCCUGCCUCAGCCUCCUGAGUACCUGGGAUUACAGAUGUGCACCACCACGCCUGGCUAAUUUUUGUAUUUUUAGUAGAGAUGGGGUUUCACCAUGUUGGCCAGGCUGGUCUCGAACUCCUGACCUUGUGAUUCGCCCACCUCGGCCUCCCAAAGUGCUGGGAUGACAGGCGUGAACCACUGUGUCCGACCCUUAGAUUCUUUUUUUAAAAGAGAUAGGGUCUUGCUAUGUUGCCCAGGAUGGACCCAAGUCCUGGGCUCAAGUGAUCCAUCUGCCUCACCCUCCAAAGUAGCUGGGACUACAGACAUGCGUCACCAUGCCCAGCUGAUACUUUUCUAAAAUGUCUAUCUGAUCAUACUAGUUUCCUAUAGGAAUAUCAGAUUGAAAAGAGGGAAGAAGGGACAAAGGACUGCUUGUUUCUGUUUCUGGUUUUAGGAGUAACAGAUCCUUUUAUGCUAUUGGCUUAGAUGGUCUGUGGCCUUAAUUCCAUUGUGCACAGAUUGGAUGUGGCUGCAUUUAGAGAGGGACAGUCGAGUCCCUUAUUAGGUACACUUACGCUGUACCUAUCCAGAGAAAAUCAGGUGAGCAAAACCUACAUACACUUGUGAAAAAUGAUAAUAGGACACAAUGGACAUUAUGGACAUUGGAAAGAGAUUGAACUUAAAAUUACCCCAUUUGGAAUCUGGGUGGUUUUGCCAAAAGACAGAAGCAGAGUGGUUUUUACCUCCUUUGCAGUAUUUCUGAAAAGUAAAAAGUUUUUUGCAGAAACCCGGAAACAGCAGCUGAAAUGUUUUACAUACUCCCUAAGGAAGCAGCACCCAGCAGAUGAAGCCCUGCGGGAGAGAGCACAGCAGCAGCGGAGGCUCUGGGGGAAGGCGCGGUGUCUAAGGCAAAGGACUCUGCCAGCUUACAUAUUUAUUUGAAAGACACAGACAAAAAGGAUGAAUAUGUUUAUAUAACUUAAAGCAAUGGCAUCAAAGGCAAACCAGAUACAACAUUAAGAUGAUGGGCAUUAAAAAGAUGAGGUAGGGGUCAAAAUGAGCCUAGAGGUUGCAUAUAUCUACAAUAAAGUUUUUUUUUCCUUCCUGCAUAGAUGGAGCAGCUCAUUGAAAAACACUUUUAUUUUUUCAAAGAUUCAGGGUCUUGCUCUGUCACCCAGGCUGAAGUGCAGAGGCACCAUCGUAACUCAAGCUCACUGUAACCUUGAACUCCUGGGCUCAAGGAAUCCUGGGACAAGGUAUCAAAGGCAAACCCUCAUAGUCUGAGAAACAUUAUGAAAACCACAAGUUAAGGUGCUACAACAUAAAAAGUCAGAUGAAGAUGAGUAAUUUAAUGGUUUCAUUCUUAUUGGACCAUUCUAGAUGGAGACAAUAAGUAGAAGGUAAAAAGUUUCAAUGACUUAAGUUUGCGUAUAGUGUACUUUAAGCAGAGGGCACAGAAUUUCCUUCGUCUUUUAUCAGUUUUGUAGAUGUUUGCGUCUUCAUAAAUAUUAGCAAUUUCUAGACUCUGAUACUCUAUUUUAUAGAUUUGUCUUUUUGUGGUUAUGUGCCCCCCUCCUUCAACAUUUUAUGCAUAUCCUUUAAAAACAUAAGCUCACAAUGUAAUUGCUCUUGGUCUACCAACAUCAGUUUCUUCAGAUACUUUUUCAUAGUUGGGACUGUCAGAAUUUUAUUUUGCAAAGAACUUCAUUUUAAGCCAAUUUCUUUUUAGAAUCUUUGGAUAUGGGAUAAGGACAAAAGUUACCAGAAGUUUUGAAAUAGUCUUUCCUAAUAUUUGUCUUUUCUGCUUUUAGAAUGUUUUGUGGCAAUUCUCAUAAAACGAAACCUAACUCACCUAUUCUCAGUAUUCGACCAGCAAAACACCUCACUUACCUGUGCACAUCAUCUAAUGCAACAAAGAGUCCCUAACAGGUUACAUCUGGUGAGUAUGCAGACAUAGAGAUCUUCUUUGUCUUAAAACAGGUUUUAGCUGUGGCACUGACAUUUUGGACCAAAUCAAUCUUUGUUGUGGGGGCUGUCCUGUACAUCACAGGAUAUUUAGCAGCAUCCCUACUUUCCACUCCCCAGAUCCUGUACCACCCCUUCCUCAAGCUGUGAUAACCAAAACUGUCUCCUGACAUUGCUCUAAUGUUUCCAUGGGGAGCAAAAUCACUCCCUAUGGGAACCAGUGUCAUAAACCAUUUUAGAGGCAAACUAUAAACUAACUCCCCCAAACUGUGAGGGUGGAAAUAGUCUAUAACUUCCCAAUACAGCAGCUGAUCACUACAUGACACUGCUAAGCACCUGAAAUGUGGCUAAGUAUGAGAAUUCUUAAUUUAAUUUCAUUUUAAUUAAGUCCUACAUAUACUAUAAGGACAAGAUGCUUCAUCAUGGAAAGCUGUGUAGAUAUCUGAUACCUCUGUUAAAAAUCAUGUGGUUGAUUGAUAGGCAAUAAAAACUUACAGAAAGGGUUUCACCAUGUUGUCCAAGCUGGUCUCAAACUAUCCACCCACCUCCACCUCCAAAAGAGCUGGGAUUACAGGUGUGAGUCACUGCACCAGGCAUAAAUGUUUUAUUAGUCCUAUUUCUAUCCAUUUAAUCUUCAUUCUGACUAGGUAUUUGUUAAAUUAAAAGGUGAACUGUGAAGUUAAAGAUUACAAUGAUAGAAAUUUAAAUUCUCUUUUAAAUCAAAAAGUUUUAAGUUGUUUUUUGCAUGAUAGGAAUCAUGACUGAAAAUAUAAGAAUGCAAAAAAGGUGCUCUAACUGAAUUCUGGUAAAUAAUUCCUUCCUUGAAAGAAAAGAAAAAUAAACAAAUUUAAAGGAAAGGCCAACCAGGAUUGAAAGAAAACAUUUAUUGAAUCAAAAUCAAUACUUUCUUUUUAAUAUCUACAAGCCAACACAGAACUCAUUUUAUUCAAGAAGGAACACAAUGUACAAAAAAAGUAUGCUUAUAUUAUAAAAAUAUGUCAAUUUUAUCUUCUGGGUGCUUAGCAGAAGUCAUUUUAAACAAAAUCAAGGCAAACUUGUUCUCUAUAAUGAGUCUGCUAUAAUUUAACAACAAAGUGAAAGCUAAUGUACUCACGAAGUAUUUUUAAAGGCCCACUGAUAAUGCUGCACUGGAAAUGCUAAACCCAAUGUUAACUAAAGUCAACAUUUCCGCUCUACGCUUACUGGCACCACUUCAUGCCUACAUCAUGGGAAAGUACCUCUUUUACAGAAUGCAGAUCACUGCUAACAAUCCACGUGACUAAGUCUUCAGUUUCCCUUGCUUAACAUUUGUUAGCAUAUAUUUCAGCAAAGAUUAACAGUAUAAUGAAUGUUGAGUAGUAAAAUCCUAUUUAAUUAGCUUCAAUUUAAAAAUGAGAUAUGCUGCUAUGGGGAACAAAUGACCUCUUGAGAUUUACAACCCCCUUUAUAAAUGUGGGAAAGCUGCCUCCCUAAAAAAAAUUAUGUCCAAGGUUAAUACCGUAUCUUUUUUUGUAGUUUUCUUAUUUCUUGAUUUUAUUGGCACCUCCCAGGCACUUUGGCAUGUGCUCCUGUAUAAAGUGUAGUUACUGUGCCUGUAGAGUUAGUGGCAGCUGCAGAGUAGUUAUAGGCUGACUGACAAGUCCACUUUUGGCUUACCAUGGAGAUCUGCUCCAAUACAUGCUGGUCGUUGGAGCAGCAAAAAAAAAAAAGCGAUUUGGAAAAAGAAUAAAAUCAUGAGUAAGGGAAAAGGAUCACGGCUUCCCAUAUUGUUGUUCCAGGAGUUAUAUGACAAGUAGAAAAAUUGUACUAAUUUAAAGAGUCAGUCAAAAUAGAAGUAGACUAAAUAGCAUGAGUGCUGAUAAUGCCAAGAAAAUCCAAUCUCUCUUCUAAAGAGCUUGCACACAGCAAUGUCCCUGGCCAAGAAACUGACCGUGCCUGGCUGAGCAGAAUGACAACAGUACUCAGGCAAAUUCCACAAUGCAACAUCCACUUGGUGAAUCAGUGACAAUGGAUGAAUUCAACUUUAGAAGUUAUUAAACAAACUGCAAAAUGUCUACUCCAAAGAUGCAAAUGUUUUUCCUUGGCAGAUCCUCUCUGUGCUUGGGAUUGACACAAAGGCUCAAAACUGCAAAAUACAAAGAUCAAGUAAUCUGGUGCCCCGCUGUACUGGGUAAAUUAAAUUUUAAAAAGUGGAGGAGAAAUGCUUUCACAUUUUACCUACAUAAACCUAAUGUUUGUUCAGCUGCCUGUUUUGCAAGAAUCUUGGACUAAGGUAAAUGAAGGCAGAAGAUAAAGUGAUCUCUGUUCCUUUAUUCAAAGUUAUUUAAAGUUUUUAAUUAAGCCCCAUUUGUUACGUGAAAUGUUAAUCCUACCAAAUGUAGUUAGAUAGGCUUGAAUUGGACAUAGGAUUUAAACAUUUUAAUGAGAACACAAACCACUGACUCUGGCUUAACACCACACUCUAACAGAAAAGAAGAAACCUUUACAGAAAUAUUUGAAAUAUACAAAAUUCGUGCAAGGACAAACAUAUUUUAGAACCUGAGCAAAGGCUUCGUACAGGUUGUUUUCACUGGCAAUAAUUCAGCCAGGUCGGUAUGUAUGUUGCUCUUGGCAACUGAUGUGGCCCCUAAAAUAUGUAGAGCACAGAAAGGCCAGUGACUCUGGAGGUCUGCAGUUAGUAGUACAGGCCAGAAGUUCAAGAAACUGCUACUGGAAACAACUGGAUACCAUAACAUUAAAAA